rnacentral:rRNA from 1 species
GAGUUUGAUCGUGGCUCAGAUUGAACGCUGGCGGCAUGCCUUACACAUGCAAGUCGAACGGCAGCACGGGAGCUUGCUCCUGGUGGCGAGUGGCGAACGGGUGAGUAAUGCAUCGGAACGUAUCCUGGAGUGGGGGAUAACGUAGCGAAAGUUACGCUAAUACCGCAUAUUCUGUGAGCAGGAAAGCGGGGGACCUUCGGGCCUCGCGCUCUUGGAGCGGCCGAUGUCGGAUUAGCUAGUUGGUGAGGUAAAGGCUCACCAAGGCGACGAUCCGUAGCAGGUCUGAGAGGAUGAUCUGCCACACUGGGACUGAGACACGGUCCAGACUCCUACGGGAGGCAGCAGUGGGGAAUUUUGGACAAUGGGGGCAACCCUGAUCCAGCCAUGCCGCGUGAGUGAAGAAGGCCU